UCGAGGGGCAGCAUUUCAGUUUGCUUGCAAACUGGAGAUGGCGACCGGCGCACGGGUGAGUAACACGUAUCCAACCUGCCGAUAACUCGGGGAUAGCCUUUCGAAAGAAAGAUUAAUACCCGAUGGUAUAAUCAGACCGCAUGGUCUUGUUAUUAAAGAAUUUCGGUUAUCGAUGGGGAUGCGUUCCAUUAGGCAGUGGGUGAGGUAACGGCUCACCAAACCUUCGAUGGAUAGGGGUUCUGAGAGGAAGGUCCCCCACAUUGGAACUGAGACACGGUCCAAACUCCUACGGGAGGCAGCAGUGAGGAAUAUUGGUCAAUGGGCGCAGGCCUGAACCAGCCAAGUAGCGUGAAGGAUGACUGCCCUAUGGGUUGUAAACUUCUUUUAUAUGGGAAUAAAGUUUUCCACGUGUGGAAUUUUGUAUGUACCAUAUGAAUAAGGAUCGGCUAACUCCGUGCCAGCAGCCGCGGUAAUACGGAGGAUCCGAGCGUUAUCCGGAUUUAUUGGGUUUAAAGGGAGCGUAGGUGGACAGUUAAGUCAGUUGUGAAAGUUUGCGGCUCAACCGUAAAAUUGCAGUUGAUACUGGCUGUCUUGAGUACAG
rnacentral:rRNA from 1 species